GUGACCUCAAAUCAGGUAGGACUACCCGCUGAACUUAAGCAUAUCAAUAAGCGGAGGAAAAGAAACUAACAAGGAUUCCCCUAGUAACUGCGAGUGAAGCGGGAAAAGCUCAAAUUUAAAAUCUGGCAGUCUCUGGCUGUCCGAGUUGUAAUCUAGAGAAGUGUUAUCCGCGCUGGACCGUGUACAAGUCUCCUGGAAUGGAGCAUCAUAGAGGGUGAGAAUCCCGUCUUUGACACGGACUGCCAGGGCUUUGUGAUGCGCUCUCAAAGAGUCGAGUUGUUUGGGAAUGCAGCUCAAAAUGGGUGGUAAAUUCCAUCUAAAGCUAAAUAUUGGCGAGAGACCGAUAGCGAACAAGUACCGUGAGGGAAAGGUGAAAAGAACUUUGGAAAGAGAGUUAAACAGUACGUGAAAUUGCUGAAAGGGAAACGCUUGAAGUCAGUCGCGUUGACCAGGGAUCAACCUUGCUUUUGCUUGGUGUACUUUCUGGUUGACGGGUCAGCAUCAAUUUUGACUAUUGGAAAAAGGUCAAGGGAAUGUGGCAUCUUCGGAUGUGUUAUAGCCCUUGGUUGUAUACAAUGGUUGGGAUUGAGGAACUCAGCACGCCGCAAGGCCGGGUUUUUAACCACGUACGUGCUUAGGAUGCUGGCAUAAUGGCUUUAAUCGACCCGUCUUGAAACACGGACCAAGGAGUCUAACAUGCCUGCGAGUGUUUGGGUGGAAAACCCGAGCGCGUAAUGAAAGUGAAAGUUGAGAUCCUUGUCGUGGGGAGCAUCGACGCCCGGACCAGACCUUUUGUGACGGUUCCGCGGUAGAGCAUGUAUGUUGGGACCCGAAAGAUGGUGAACUAUGCCUGAAUAGGGUGAAGCCAGAGGAAACUCUGGUGGAGGCUCGUAGCGAUUCUGACGUGCAAAUCGAUCGUCAAAUUUGGGUAUAGGGGCGAAAGACUAAUCGAACCAUCUAGUAGCUGGUUCCUGCCGA
rnacentral:rRNA from 1 species